AUUGAACGCUGGCGGCAGGCCUAACACAUGCAAGUCGAACGAGUGGCGGACGGGUGAGUAAUGUCUGGGAAACUGCCUGAUGGAGGGGGAUAACUACUGGAAACGGUAGCUAAUACCGCAUACCAUCAGAUGUGCCCAGAUGGGAUUAGCUAGUUGGUGGGGUAACGGCUCACCAAGGCGACGAUCCCUAGCUGGUCUGAGAGGAUGACCAGCCAAAUGGGAAUGGAGACACGGUCCAGCCUCCUACGGGGGGCAGCAGUGGGGAUUAUUGCAAAUGGGGCGAAAGCCUGAUGCAGCCAUGCCGGGUGUAUGAAGAAGGCCUUCGGGUUGUAAAGUACUUCAGCGGGGAGGCGUUACCCGCAGAAGAAGCACCGGCUAACUCCGUGCCAGCAGCCGCGGUAAUAC
rnacentral:rRNA from 1 species